rnacentral:rRNA from 1 species
CCUACGGGUGGCAGCAGUGGGGAAUAUUGCGCAAUGGGCGAAAGCCUGACGCAGCGACGCCGCGUGAGGGAUGAAGGUCUUCGGAUCGUAAACCUCUGUCAGCAGGGAAGAACGGUCACUGUGCUAAUCAGCAGUGAAUUGACGGUACCUGCAAAGGAAGCACCGGCUAACUCCGUGCCAGCAGCCGCGGUAAUACGGAGGGUGCGAGCGUUAAUCGGAAUUACUGGGCGUAAAGCCCUCGUAGGCGGUAUGUCAAGUCAAGGGUGAAAUCCCCGCGCUCAACCUGGGAACUGCCUUUGAAACUGGCAAACUGGAGUGUGUGAGAGGAUAGUGGAAUUCCAGGUGUAGGAGUGAAAUGCGUAGAUAUCUGGAGGAACAUCAGUGGCGAAGGCGACUAUCUGGCACAUAACUGACGCUGAGGAGCGAAAGCGUGGGUAGCAAACAGGAUUAGAUACCCUUGUAGUC